rnacentral:lncRNA from 1 species
CAAACAUUCUCUCUGUUUGUGCUUAGCGUUAUCCUUGUCACUGAACUGCAAAAGUGUGAUAUAGAGACGAAAAGUCACAUCUUCUCUUGGGUAUAAGACAUGCUACCAGACAGCAGCCUGCUAUCUCCUCGUCUGUCAUAUCUAGUGACAGCAUGCACAUGGGAGUUCUUGCAGCUGCAGCUCAUGCGGCUGGGAACAACAGCCCAUUUAAGAUAUUCUACAACCCAAGGUAGUCGAACUAAUACCUUUUUCAACUGUUAAAGUACACUGGAUUAACUUUGUGAAAUUUUUUGAUUCCCUGAUGAAACCUAAACUUUUACAGGGCUAGCCCUUCUGAAUUUGUUAUUCCUCUUGCAAAGUAUAACAAAGGAAUGUAUACCCAAGUUUCAUUAGGUAUGCGUUUCAGGAUGAUGUUUGAGACUGAGGAAUCCGGAGUCCGCAGGUACAUGGGUACCAUUACUGGCAUUGGUGAUUUGGACCCAGUGCGAUGGAAAAAUUCACAGUGGCGUAACCUUCAGGUACUGGUUUUCUCUUUUCAUUUUGCUGAAAGUCUUCAACAUUUAUCUUUAGUGUGUAUGAUCAUGAACAUUUAGAACUUCGUGAUCGCUGUUCUACUCUCUUGGAAACUAAAUUUUUCCACUGCCCACCUAGGAUAUAACUCGACUGGUUGGUAAAUAUGUUGUCUAUAAUCAGUUUUUAGGCUAGCUUCUCUCAGUUUACCAUGCUAAAAGCUGCAUCUCAUUUUUGGUUUUGGCUUUUCUCCAAAUAUGUGCAUUGUAUCUUUCCAAUUUUUAUGUUUUCCUCUGCCGUAAUUGACCUUCAUUAAUUUCUAAUCAUGGUUUAGAUGUAUCCAAAAGAUUUAUCCUUGAUAUAUUCUACUACAAACGUCUUUUCCUCGAAACUUAUUCGAUUUCUAGAUCUCAUAAUCAAUUAUCAUUACUUUCGUUAGGUUGGAUGGGAUGAAUCUACUGCUGGGGAACGUCCUAGUCGAGUAUCAAUUUGGGAAAUCGAACCUAUUGUGACUCCCUUCUAUAUUUGUCCACCACCAUUUUUCAGACCUAAGUUUUCGAAACAACCAGGUUUCCCAGGUAAUCCAAGUUGACCACUUAUCUAUCUUUUAUUAUUCUGGGAUGUCAAACAGCUAUAAGUUACAAAUUUGUAUUAGUUUUAUUUGGUGUGUUUGUGGGAGACUGAAUGUGUCCAUAAGUUUUUGUUGAAAUUGCAAUAAUUUGUUGCAAAUGUUCAAAUUUUCCUCAAACUCGUGUUUUUACAGAUGAUGAUUCCGAUAUAGAGAAUAUUUUCAAGAGAGGCAUGCCCUUGAUUGGAGAGGACUAUGGUUUAAAAGAUACCUCAAGCUUCAUAUUCCCCGGGAUGAGUUUAGUUCAGUGGAUGAACAUGCAGCAGAAUCAACAGUUCACAGCUAAUCAGUCUGGACUUUUCCCGGACGGGCUCUCUUCAACUAACCUACACGGUAACCUUGGAACUGACGACUGCUCCAAGCUGUUGAAUUUCCAAUCCCCGGCCUUUGCUUCCCAAAAUCUCCAACUCAGCAAAAUCAAUCAACAAGUUGGACAACUUCAACAGCAGCCGUCUUCUGCGUGGCCCCAACAGCAGCCGCUGCAGCAAAUGUUAACGUCUUCUAUAAACCCUAUAAAUAAUGGUGUAGCUCCUGACCAGAAUCCAUAUCAAAAUUCACAGCAAACAGCAAUUAUCUCCCAACAACUUCAGCAACAACAGUUAAUAAGAGGCAAUACACAAAUGCAGCAAAAUGUUCCCUCAGCAAACAAAAGUACAGUACCCAUGAUAUCUUUACCUCAGGACACUCAGUUUCAGCAACAUAUUGAACAACCAUCUAGCCUUGUGCAGAGGCCCCAGCAACAGCAGACAGAAAUGCAACAAACUCGGCCACAAUUUCCGCAGCCAAUCUCAAUACAAAAGCCACAAGGGAAACAGACAUCACAACAGAGUAUUUCGGAACAUCAGCUGCAAAUGCAGAUUCUCCAGAAACAUCAGCAGCAACAGCAGCUGCAACAGGUGCCGUCCCCUGUAAGUUCUUUUUUGGAGCCUCCGUUUUCCCAACAACAACAGGCUCUUCAACAAAACCAGCAAGCUCAGCAUUUCAGCAGCACCGGCUUUUCAGCAUCAACACUUGUGCAAUCACCACAAUUUCCUGUCAACCAACUCUACAGCCAGCAAAAGUCUACGUUCACUGUCAAAUCACAUUCCGAACCAGCUGAUGCGGCUGGCCCAUCAUGUUCAAUCGCACCUUGUACAAACAAUAUGCAAGCUUCGCUGUCGAACUUUCUGAACAGAAAUCAAUUGGGAUCAGCUGCAUUACUUGAUAAUUCGGUUAUUCAUCCUGUUCCUAGUUUAGCUCCAGAGUCUCAUAGCAAGGCUGAUAUCCUAAUAAAAAGUGAUUUACCUAGUUAUAAAGGACCGAAGCAGCCUAAAUACCGAAAUACAGCUAAAGAUCACUUGGAUGCAGCUUCAAGCGCAACAUCGUAUUGCUUGGAUGCUAGUGGGCGGCAGAACUUUUCUCUUGCUGGCUUGGAUGGUGACAUUCAAUCACAUCCCCAGAGCAGUCUUCCUUUCACAAGCAGUAUUGAUGGAUUGACACCUGAUGCUUUGUUGUCAAGGGGUUGUGAUUCCGGGAAGGAUAUCCAAAACUUGCUCUCUAAUUACAGUGGUAAUCCAAGGGAUAAUGAAACAGAAUUUUGCUCUGCUGGAAUCAAUUCUCAAACAUUUGGGUUGCCAAAGAUGUCAUUUAACGCCAGUUGUUCAAAUGAUGCUGGGAUCAAUGAGGCUGGUGUUUUAAAUAGUGGGUUGUGGCCAAACCAGAUUCAGCGUAUGCGAACAUACACAAAGGUCUCUCUCUCUCUCUCUCUCUCAAACACACUGUUACACACACACGCACACUCUUCAAACUGGUCACCUGCCAAGUUCCCCCGCCACAAAAAUAGAAAAAUGAAAAAAAAUUACAGCAUAAUAGAAUCCAUCUACAUUCUCUUUGAGAACACUUACACGAAGGAACCGUAAUAUGAAAUAAAUUUUAUCUAAUUUCUUUCCCUCUUCGUUUGGAGACAGCCUGAUUACUAGAAAUUAUGCAGGUUCAAAAACGUGGCUCUGUGGGUAGAACUAUUGAUGUCACUCGUUACAAGGGGUACGAUGAACUUAGGCAUGAUCUAGCCCGUAUGUUUGGUAUCAAUGGACUACUUGAAGAUCCACAACGAUCUGAAUGGAAACUUGUCUACGUAGACCAUGAAAAUGACAUGUUACUUGUUGGCGAUGACGCUUGGGAGUAAGUGUUUAGCAACUGUCCUUGUUAUCUUAGUUUUUCGUUGAAAGAACACAAAAAUAACUUUGAAAAUUUUUCUCAGUGAGUUUGUGAGCUGCGUUCAGAGUAUAAAGAUACUGUCCUCUGCUGAGGUACAACAAAUGAGUUUAGAUGGAGAUUUAGCUCAGCCUCCUGCCCCAAACCAAGCACUCAGUGGAACAGACAGUGGUAAUGCUUGGAGAGGACAGUAUGAUGAUAAUUCUGCCAACUCUUUUAAUCGGUGAAAGCAUUGCAGAGAUUAACUUUUAUCAGCAGGAAAUGUUAGAAGGUAGAUGUAAAUUUCUUGUACCAUCGAAUGUUAAAAAGCUUGUCUGAAAUUUUUUGAAGUGCUUGUGCAUUCUUGUAGAAGAAUCAAGAAAACUAUAUAUACUUGACGAAACAAACAAUUUUUUAUUCAACUUUAAAAAAGGGAAAAUUCAGUCCAGUGCCAUCAUUUUCAUUCCUAAAUGGAUGCAACUCCAUAUUCUUUGCACUAAAUUACGCUAAACUGACAGUUCAAGAAAAUAUUCAUUUAGGACUGGAAUUCUUUUGUGAGAUAUCAGAAACUGGAAAAUAAGGACACAGACAAGCAGCUCUUUAAACGACUACAAAGAACAACAAAUGGUUCUCGAACUGAAAAAUCAUUACACUUUGAUUUCUUUCAUUACGCUGCAAAAAGUCGUCAUAUUGAUCCGGAUUACAACAAAUUUCUCAAGUUUCGCUUUUGCUGAACCAACUAAGAAAGGACAGCCAUGACCUCUGAAGCCCUUAGUGCUAUGUAGUUAGAACCGUCACUGCCCUUGAAAUCGUUUCCUGCAUAUUUGGAGUACAAAACUGUGUUCCCGGGGAUAACUGACAAUGGCUUCCUGUUACCUUCCUCAUCAAGGGGGCCAGGCCCGACUGCAAUCACCUGUAAUUGAAGAUGGAAA